rfam:Physcomitrella patens subsp. patens PHYPAscaffold_185 genomic scaffold, whole genome shotgun sequence.
CAAGAGGCUUUUCUAAAAGCCAUAUUUAAAUAUUUUAAAUUACUAU